UGCGGGUUCGAUCCCUGCCCUUGCUCAGUGGGUUAAGGAUCUGGCGUUGCUGUGAGCUGUGGAGUAGGUCGCAGAUGCGGCUCGGAUCCCAAGUCGCUGUGGCUGUGGCGUAGGCUGGCAGCUACAGCUCCGAUUAGACCCCUAGCCUGGGAACCUCCAUAUGCCGUGGGUGUGGCCCAAGAAAUGGCAAAAAGACAAAAAGAAAAAAAAAAAAAAGAAAAAAGGAAGCAAAUGAUGAUGAGCAGCAGAGCAGGUUAUGGAGGACUGAGGAGGGAGCAGGAAUGAGGGAGCUGUUGAGGCGAAUGGGAGAGGGAAUGGCCUAGGACAGGCACGAUAGAUGGGCAGCACCCUGGUCCACAGGAGGUUGUAAUGACCAUGACUGGGAAUUUAGAAGGAGAUCAGCCAGCAUGGUUGUGUUCUUUCCCCUAAGCACAUUUUGUAGCAGGGAUGCUGGCCCAGAAUAGGCAGAAAGUUGGAUUUAAUCAAGGGUGAGAAUUUACCAGUAUAAUACACUGAGAAAGGAGCAAGGAGAAUAAGGGUACUUACAAGAGAGAAAUAAUGAUGACGGAUCAUGGAAUUUAAGCAGAGUCAGGAAGAGAAUAUGAGGACACAAGAGGGUGAGGACAGUGGCAAGGUGGUAGGAACAAAAAAAAUGCAAAUGGCAUUUCUAGCCUUUACCCUAAUAAAGAUAAAGUCUUUAAUAAGUUUCCCAAGCUCUUGAUGUUUCUUUGAAUGCUGAUGGAGAUGAUAACGUGGGGAUGGGGCUUCUCUGUUGGAGCAGUCAUGGCUCCGGAGCUGCCAGCACCAGUGGUUGUUGGCGAGAGAGAAGGCAAGGAUAGUGUUGGUUCUUCAAGGAGGAAAAUGACUGGUGUGGGGUAGCAGGUCUCAGAGUCUCUAAUCAUUGGAGUUGUGUAAUUCUAGGAUUGCAGGAGGAGGUGUAUAGACUCCAAGUGACACAAACACAUACCCCACAUGUGCAUUUUCCUUCUUUACCUGAAAUCAGUAUAGUGCCCCAUGCCAGGUAUGUAGUCUGUCAAUGGGUCUUCAAAGGUUUAAGUGAAAAGUCAGGAGAGGAAAAGGCAGGAGGAAAAGCCUUUUAAAGAUAGUGGUUUUACCUUAGAGUUUAGUUUAUAAAUGAUACCAUAAUAUGACAUUGUGGGAAAUAUGUGGUAGAAAUCUGAUAAUAAUUUCAUUAGGAAAUAUGGCUAUUGAAAUGCUGGCAGAUGUCUUUGUGUCAUGACCACAAUAUAAGUAGUUAUCUGAGGCUUAUCCUUCAGGAAUUCUUGUGUUUGUGGAUUAUAUCAGUUUCCUGUCUCCUGACCUCUGGUCUCAGCCCAGGAUUACUUGGUAGUUUGGACUUUUCAAUCAGAAAUGGGUGAGUUCCCUUGUAGCACAGCGGGCUAAGGAUCCAGCAUUGUCACUGCAGUAGCUCAGGUCACUUCUGUGGCGUGGGUUCAAUCUCUGAUCUGGGAAUUUGAGCAUGCCGUGGCACAGCCAAAACAAAAAACAAAAACGAGAAAAGAAAAAUCAGAAAUGGGGCUUUCAGAUCAUCCAGAGCAAUCCUUUCAUUUUUCAGACAUUAGAACUGGGGCCCAGUGAGGUGAAAUCUGUGUUUCUCUAUUCUGCCAUGAGGUGGGCACCAUAUUCUGGCCUCUGGCUCUGAUGAAGGUAGCCCCUUCCAUGCUUCUGUUGGAGGCUUGUUCCUGGUCAUUGAUGCUCUUGCCUGUUUGUCCUCAAGUUGAGAUACCUUCCCUGUGACUCAGGAAGCAAAAGCUUGCUACUUCUGAGCAGUUAUACAGAAGAUGGAACAAGAGGUUUGGGGUUUUUUUGCAAAUCGAACGAAUCCGACUAGGAAUCAUGAGUUUUCCAGUUCAAUCCCUGGCCUUGUUCAGUGGGUUAAGGAUCCGGCAUUUCCGUGAGCUGUGGUGUAGGUCGCAGAUGGGGCUCGGAUCCCGUGUGGCUGUGGUAUAGGCCAGCAGCUGUAGCUCCGAUUCAACC
rnacentral:lncRNA from 1 species